AUUGAACGCUGGCGGCGUGCCUAACACAUGCAAGUCGAGCGGUAACAGGCGUAGCAAUACGUGCUGACGAGCGGCGAACGGGUGAGCAAUGCUUCGGAAUCUGCCCAAUGAUGGGGAAUAACCAGUCGAAAGACUGGCUAAUACCGCAUACGCCCUUCGGGGGAAAGCGGGGGUCGCAAGACCUCGCGUCGAUGGAUGAGCCGAAGUCGGAUUAGCUAGUUGGUAGGGUAACGGCCUACCAAGGCGACGAUCCGUAGCUGGUCUGAGAGGACGACCAGCCACACUGGGACUGAGACGCGGCCCAGACUCCUACGGGAGGCAGCAGUGGGGAAUAUUGGACAAUGGGGGCAACCCUGAUCCAGCGACGCCGCGUGUGUGAAGAAGGCCUGCGGGUUGUAAAGCACUUUUAGUGGGGAUGAAAAGCACAUCGCUAAUACCGGUGUGUCUUGACCUAACCCAAAGAAAAAGCACCGGCUAACUCUGUGCCAGCCGCCGCAGUAAAAC
rnacentral:rRNA from 1 species